GUCUAGCGACACAGUUCUUCGGGUAUGCUCGCGACAUUUCGCUCCGGAUGCUUUCAAGACGCGCACAAAGGUCACGGGACGUCUGCAACUGAGACGCGGGGCGAUCCCUACGCUGUUCUUACCGACGGCAACAGCAGCAAGUGCAACAUCAUUGCUGCCAAGGGGAUCAAAACUGAAAAGGCUAGCAGCUGCGUCUAGCAGUGACAGCCCUGCUGGAGGCUCCAUUUCACAACCGGCAGAAGCGUGGCAAGGGCAAGCGGCUGCACAUGGAUCCUGCGAUGCUAGUCAAGGAGCUGGACCAGAUGUACGAAGCCUUUGUA